AAAAAUAAAAUAAAAAGU
rnacentral:sRNA from 1 species